rnacentral:tRNA from 1 species
GAAAGUAUAGCUCAGCGGGUAGAGCUCAUGCUUAACAUGCACGGUGUCCUGAGUUCAAUCCCCUGUGCCUCCU